GUGGAUUAGGCAUGCAAGUCGAACGCGAAAGAGGGGGAAACCCCUCGAGUAGAGUGCCGAACGGGUGAGUAACGCGUGAAGAACCUGCCUUCGACAGGGGGAUAACACUCCCAACGGGGUGCUAAUACCGCAUGAGACCACGGGUCCGCAUGGACCUGAGGUCAAAGGUGGCCUCUGCUUGCAAGCUACCGGUCGAAGAUGGCUUCGCGUCCCAUUAGCUAGUUGGCGGUGUAAUGGACCACCAAGGCGACGAUGGGUAGCUGGUCUGAGAGGAUGGUCAGCCACACUGGGACUGAGAUACGGCCCAGACUCCUACGGGAGGCAGCAGU
rnacentral:rRNA from 1 species